AAAGCUCCUCCACCCCCCGGCCGGCGCGCGUAUUCUCCUUCCCACCUCAGACGCGCGUGAGGGACUUUCGUGUAUUUUUUUUUCUUUUUCAAAUCUAUCCCAGUUCCCGUGUACAAGUAGUCCUCCACUUACCCCCACAACUGAGCCCAGAAUUUAUGUUGCCAAGUCAGAAAUUGGUUAGGCUUCUUCGGAUAUGAAGUUGUUUUCAUUCCCCCCACAUCCACUAUGAACAAACAGCUUACAUGUCCCAGUGAUUGUGUCGAAAAAAAAGCGAAUAGUAGGAGUAUCGCAUGGUCCUACUAUUGGGCGAAAUGUACAUUUCUCGGGAAAUAGUACUGAAAUUGAAAAGAGGAAAAUAAGACACACUGUCCCUUUUAUGGAAAGCCAGAAGAUCAUUGCAUAUAAAUAUAUUGUGUUCUAACUCCAGAGUGCAGGGCAACAUGAAUAUUUGACCAUCCAUUGGAAAACUGGACCCUGAAAAAUCUGCUCCAAACAUCAGAAAAAGUGAAAACAGUUUGUCUACUAUAACAUUUUGAGAACACCUAAAUUUUGUGUCAUCGCCAAUUGACAAUAGAAUUGUCAUGCAAAGAAUUGAAGUACAGCCUGGCAGAUACAGGCUGCUGUAACCCUAAGAAGAGACAGCAGGCCCAUAUUCUUGAGAUUAGCCUGCAGAGACGGACUGAGAAUAUCAUCAGGGAGAAGGUUCCUCCCAUUUGCUUGAAGGACCUCAAACCAUGUGAUCCUGUCCACCAUUAAACCAUCUUUCCAAACAGU